rnacentral:rRNA from 1 species
AUUGAACGCUGGCGGCAGGCCUAACACAUGCAAGUCGAACGGUAACAGGAAACAGCUUGCUGUUUCGCUGACGAGUGGCGGACGGGUGAGUAAUGUCUGGGAAACUGCCUGAUGGAGGGGGAUAACUACUGGAAACGGUAGCUAAUACCGCAUAACGUCGCAAGGCCAAAGAGGGGGACCUUCGGGCCUCUUGCCAUCGGAUGUGCCCAGAUGGGAUUAGCUAGUAGGUGGGGUAACGGCUCACCUAGGCGACGAUCCCUAGCUGGUCUGAGAGGAUGACCAGCCACACUGGAACUGAGACACGGUCCAGACUCCUACGGGAGGCAGCAGUGGGGAAUAUUGCACAAUGGGCGCAAGCCUGAUGCAGCCAUGCCGCGUGUAUGAAGAAGGCCUUCGUGUUGUAAAGUACUUUCAGCGGGGAGGAAGGGAGUAAAGUUAAUACCUUUACUCAUUGACGUUACCCGCAGAAGAAGCACCGGCUAACUCCGUG